CUCUCUCUGUCCCUCCCCUGCUCAUGCUCUGUCUCCCUCAGUCUCAAAAAUAAAUAAAAACAUUUAAAAAUUUUUGUUUUAAAUAAAUAAAUAAAUACAAAUAACAAUAAAUUCUAGUUCCUCGAAAGUAACUUCCAGUGACGUUUAAAACAUUUCCACACACUCCAAAAGAUAAGACAGUUUAUCCUUUACUUUAUGUAGAACUUCAAACACCGGGUGUCCGGCUUAAGGCAGCUCCCAGUGAGUGUGGCUUCCUGCCCACCAGUCGCCUCCUGAAAGUUCACGCAAGGACAGGAGGAGGAAGCCCCGAGGCCACCGUGGACUCAUCUCUGGCUACACGGCAGGCUCGAGUCUAAGUACCUCAAAUGUAUCACCCAAGUUAAUCCUCCCCACAAUCCCAGGAGGUUGUUAUCACCCCUGUUUCACAGAUGGGGAGGCCAAGGCUCAGAGUCAUGAGGUCAUUUGCCCAAGGUCACUCGCUUGUGCGUGGAAGAGCCCACAUUGGGCUGGAACGGUGAGUGCAGAAGCAGCCCUCUGACACGCGAGGCCGUUUACCCCCCGGGGCUGCGGAGAACACAUACGUGAUCAGACCUGCGCGUCUGCCCCACCUUCCUUAUUCCCAGUUGUGAGACCACCGUUUCCCAGGCUCACGGACUCCGUCAUCCCCGGGCAGACCCCCCAAGUCUGGGCGCUCCCUCUCUGUUUCAUGCUCAGACCGUUCUCUGACCUCCCGUCUGCCCCCUCGCCAUAUCAAUCUGCUAGAACACCGAUGGGACGAUCUCACAUCCUACUCAAAAACGUUCAUUCCUUUCCUACAGAGUGGAGUUUAGGCCCGGCACUCAGGAUUCUGCCACAGACCAGCUCCCCCCUGUUGCCUCAGUAUCCCCUGGGCUCCCCAGCACUCCAGUUCCCCUCUCGACGGCAGGUUUCCUCUGGGAGCGGCUCGCCCCGGUACUCCCGCCUGCCACAUACAGGCGACCUUGGGUGAGGACACAGAAGGCAUCAAUCUGCAAACCAGAGCGUCCUUACCAGAACUGGACCAGGCUGGCACCCCGAUCUCAGACUCCCAGCCUCCAGAAGCGUAAGAAAAUAAGUUGCUGUUGUUUACACAACCCAGUGCGCGGCGUUUCUUAUGGAGGCCCGAGCAGACUGACAGUGGCUAAAGUUGAAGACUGAUGAUACCAAGUGUCGUCAGGGAAGUGGAGAAAGCGGGACAUGCAUACACUGUGAGGAUAUACACGGUACAACCACUUUGGAAACCAGUUUAGUGGUUUCCUACAAACCUAAAUUAUAGGUUUGUAGAGCCGUGAUCCACCCAUUCUUGUCCUAGGAAUCUGCCCAAGAGAAGUGAAAACAUACGCUCACAGAAGGACUGGUGCACGAAUACUCUUCGCAAUGUUGUCUGUAACAACCACAAACGGGAAACAACCCAACUCUCCACCAGCAUGUGAAUGGAUAAGCAAACGGUGGUGCCUCUAUCACAUAGAGGACCAAGGCCGGAGGCCCCUGCGCCAUGGGCUGAGUGCCCAGUCCCCAGGGUGGAGCCUGGCAGGUUCCAGGUGGGCUGUCUGACCGAGAGCUGGCCCGGUCCUGCACAACGGGACCCUCAGAGCCUGCUGGGGCCCGAGAGCAGAGGUGACAGCCGGUGGCCAUCUGAAGCGUGGGUCUGCGGGCUAACCUGGCCACGACUCGCCCCUCGACCUCAGGCUGAUCCCUGAAUCCUUCUGGGCCAACAGAAAUAUGAUUCCGACUUCAACUGAACUUCCUCUGGAAUUCCCCUUGACCCCUGACCCUCCCACGCAAGCCUCCCCACUCUGGGCUGUGCCUGCCUUGUUGUUUGGUUGCUCCUCCACGAGGGUGGCCACACGCUUGUUCACCAUUGUUCUUAGCAAGUGGCACACAGUAGGUGUUCAACACGUUUGCCAAUUGAUCAGAAACAUCUCCCAUGGGGCGCCUGGUUGGCUCCGUCGUUUAAGCGACCGACUUCGGCUCAGGUCAUGAUCUCACGGUCCGUGGGUUCGAGCCCCGCGUCGGGCUCUGUGUGGACGGCUCAGAGCCUGGAACCUGCUUCGGAUUCUGUGUUGUGUCUCCCUCUCUCUCUGCCCCUCCCCUGCUCAUGCUCUGUCUCUCUCUGUCUCAAAAAUAAAUAAAAACAUUUUAAAAAAUCCCCUAUACUCUAGGCACUUGACAUAUGAACGCUCAUUUAAUUUUCUAAACACUCCUGCAGUGUGGGUCUAGUCAUCCCCAUUUUAGAGAUGAAAACACUGAGGCUGAGUGAAAUGACUUGAGGGGCUGUAAAGAGGUGGUGGUGGAAUUUGAACCCGGCUCAUUAGACUCCGAAGCCCCUGAGCUUGCUGCCACACUGGGCUCCCCAGUCUCUCAUGAGGGGAUGACUUGACCUGACCUUCCCCCCACUCAUCGUUGGACCCCCCUGAGACAGAGCCUACAGAAGUGCCUGGCAAGGCUCGCUGCACAGAGGGGAAUGAGUCAGGCUGGGUGGCUGGCCAGCGGCCUCCAGUUCACCUGACUGGCUCAUGUUUGGGGUAUGUCACCUGUGAGCCCGGUUGGGUUUCUUGCAGGUUCCCACGGAGACCGGCCUCUUCUGGGAGCUGUCUGACGCUGCCUUUCCUCCCUGACCAGGCGACGACUCCACUCGUUCUUCCCGAGGCCUCAGCCUUCAGCCCGACCGAAUCACGCAGGGAGUCUACCCGCCAGAACUUCUGGGAGGUCUUCCCCAGUCCUGCCACGCGUCCCGAGCACCUCCGUCGGCCCCGGCACCUGUCACUCAUCAGCAUUGUUCGCCGAUAUGCCCAGGGUCUUCUUCAAUAGAGCUGGAGCUCCUUGGGGGCCGGGAUGGCGCAUUCUUUACUUUUGUAAAGAGCUCGGCACAUAGCGCGUGCUGCGUAAGGUUCACCGUGUAAGUGGCCUCGUAAUGGUAAGUCGCGCAGAAGCAGAGACUCUGCUUAACUCAUUGGCUGGACUCUGACAGCAUCUUCCCCACCCCUCAUAUCUUAAAGUUGUGGGAACUGAGCUCCUACAACGCACAGCGGAGUAUGCUUGAAAGAAGCAAAGCCUGCCUUGGCCACUAAUGCUCUGUACAACUUGGGCAGGUCCCUGGGUUUUUUGGAGUCUCUAUUUCCUCAUCUGAAAACGGACACUGAUUUUGUCGCCCUCAGAACAGUAGUCGUGUAAACACAGAGUCACGACUUGGCCCAGAAAUUCUGCUCCUAGGUACACGCCCCAGAGAAAUGUGUCCACAAAAGAACCGGUACAUGAAUCGUCAUAGCAUCGUUAUUCAUCAUCGGCAAGAGGCGGAAACAACCCAAGCGCCCAUCGGUGGAUGAACCGAAAAACAAGAUAUAGCGUAUCCAGACACCAGAAUAUUGCUCGGCAGUGGAACGGAAUGAAGUACCGACAUGUGCUACAACGCGGAUGAACCCGGAAAACAUGAUGCUGAGUAAAAGAAACCAGCCACGAAAAAUCACGUAUUAUGUUUCCAUUUCUAUGACAUGUCCAGAAGAGGCAAGUCUAUAGAGACAGAAAGCAGGGUCUCUGACUCGCCGCCUGCAGGGAGCGGUCACUGUGGACCCGGUACCCGGGGGGUGGGGCUCUGCACAGCCCCAGCACCCUGCACCCUGCCUUCACCCAGCACCCUGCCUUCACCCAGGCUCUCCUGACCUCAGCCUCCCAGGAGCUGCCUUCACAGCCUUCACAGGUGCCACCAGGAGGCUUGCAUCUAAGCCCUGCCUCCUGACGGGGUCUUUAAAAUGUGCUUGCCCUCCCCUUAGGGGGCCAGUCUCCCAACCCAGCAAGCUGGGAAUCGUCCUCCCCUGAGCCCCCUGCUCCUCUACACUCACCCACCCCACCCUUUUCUCUGGAUCUUAUGACCGUCUUAAGUGGGUCCCCUCCUCCCCACCUACCACUCUGCGACUGCCAGUGCCUUGAUGGGACCCUCGCCCUCCCUGCUGCCGGCCUCUUACAACAGCUCCUACGGGACCUCCCUGUCUCCUGGAGCCCUGCCCCUUCCGCUCCAUUCCCGGGAGGCAGCCAGGGCCUCUCUGACGCUCGGUCCCCUCCAGUGUUCCCCUGCCCCCCUCCCCAUUCCCUCCUCUUCCCUUCCCCCCUCACCAAACUACCCAGCAUUCCAGAGCCCGUGGUGCCCUCAGAGCCCCUGCUCAGGCUGAGCCCUUUGCCUGAGAUGCCCUUCCCAGUGGCAGCUCGGCUAUCACCUCCACCAGGAAGCCUUCCCUGAUCUCACCCCAGCUACACUGAUCUCAGCUGAGCUUUAUUAGGUGGUCCUGCUCUGUGCCUCCAAGUCACACUGGGUCCUGCUCCUCUCCUCACUCUGCUGAGCUCGUCUGCAGAUGACUUCAGGGUCCUGACUGUGACCGGUCAGUCUCCGCACCCCAGAGUCUGGUAUGUUGGCUGCACCCACUAACUCUUUGAAUUGAGCUGACUUUUCAUAAGGCCCCAAGACUGUGGCAGGAAACAGGUUGUCACCACGCUGAGGUACUCUGGGGCCAGCUGG